rnacentral:rRNA from 1 species
UGAGUAACACGUGGAUAACCUACCUAUAAGACUGGGAUAACUUCGGUAAACCGUAGCUAAUACCGGAUAAUAUUUUGAACCGCACGGUUCAAAAGUGAAAGACGGUCUUGCUGUCACUUAUAGAUGGAUCCGCGCUGCAUUAGCUAGUUGGUAAGGUAACGGCUUACCAAGGCAACGAUGCAUAGCCGACCUGAGAGGGUGAUCGGCCACACUGGAACUGAGACACGGUCCAG